NNNNGAACCUGCUGAAUACCACCUCUGGUUGAUUCAGCAGAUCUGGCUGGCUGGGUGCAUGUCCCCUUCCUCCCUCAUUGCUCCAUGUGCAUCCCUCCGAAACUGCAUGCUCAGUGGAAGAGGACGGCCAUCCCAGAUAGAAGGAGUGUACCAAUCUUCAGUCAAGGGCAGGGGUGGGAUGCUACCAGUUCAGCCUGGUUCUAUAGAACUGGUAGCUCUGAAGAGCAGCAGACACCGAACCGGUUUAAUGCAACGACCUUUUGGU
rnacentral:snRNA from 1 species